rnacentral:rRNA from 1 species
GAUGAACGCUAGCUACAGGCUUAACACAUGCAAGUCGAGGGGAAACGACAUUGAAGCUUGCUUCGAUGGUCGUCGACCGGCGCACGGGUGAGUAACGCGUAUCCAACCUGCCUCUGACCAAGGGAUAACCCGUCGGAAGUCGGCCUAAUACCUUAUGCAGUCGUCGGAAGUCAUCUGAUGACGACGAAAGAUUUCAUCGGUGAGAGAUGGGGAUGCGUCUGAUUAGCUUGUUGGCGGGGUAACGGCCCACCAAGGCAACGAUCAGUAGGGGUUCUGAGAGGAAGGUCCCCCACAUUGGAACUGAGACACGGUCCAAACUCCUACGGGAGGCAGCAGUGAGGAAUAGUGGUCAAUGGGCGAGAGCCUGAACCAGCCAAGUAGCGUGCAGGAUGACGGCCCUAUGGGUUGUAAACUGCUUUUAUGCGGGGAUAAAGUGAGGGACGUGUCCUUCAUUGCAGGUACCGCAUGAAUAAGGACCGGCUAAUUCCGUG